UAUCAGAUAAUUCAGAUAGGCAACUAAUGACCAUGACUGUAGUUUGCAAUUGUGGCCCCUACAAUGAUAGAAAAAAUUAAUGAUCACGGUCGUACUUAACCACUGUCAUCCUUACAAUCAAUUGCGAGUCCACUCUCAUUAGAGGGAACACAAUGCCAUUUACAAGCAGUGGUCACCAAUAGUCAAUUCAGUCAUAUUCAAAUAACCCCUAGUGAUAACGGUCAAAUGGAUUUUUAAUUCUUUCUUUUUUUCUUUACUGAUUCAAAUUCACAGAUAAUAAGGAAAUCAGAACUCGGUGGGGGUCCAAUAACAUUUUUUGACCUAAAGAGGCCUUCAUACCUGGACUUUGCUAUUGGGUCACCUUCUCAAGCCAAGACUCAAUAG
rnacentral:lncRNA from 1 species